rfam:TPA: Bos taurus chromosome 11, whole genome shotgun sequence.
UCCCUGGUGGUCCAGUGGCUAGGACUCUGGGCUCCCAAUGCACAGGGCCUGGGUUCAAUCCCUGGUCAAGGAA